CCUGUUCGUCUCCACCAAUGUGGUGCUCAACACAAUUAGGAGGAGACACAAAGCGGAACAUACGUGUAACAAAAUAAAAUUACUUGAAAGUCCUUAAAUUAAAACUUUAAUCGUGUCUUUGUACAUGUAGUGUGUGGUAUGGUGUCAGAUAUGAAUUGUUCGACUGUAAAGCUGAAGCAACUUUACUACCAGAUGAGAAUGUACACCCCACGUCCCUUGACAACUUAACUAGCGAUUACACUGCGUGCCCUCCCUGAGAAGUUUCUGCUGAAGCUUUCUGACAACCUGAAACACACUGAUGUUAUGUUCAUACAGAGACACAAGAGACGGAGGAAGUUUUCAUCCCUAGUCGUCAUUUUAGUGAGACCAGUCUGCACCGACACAUUGGGUUGAGCAGGUUCACAGCCUCGAGACUUCAUCUUCUCUGGAGUGUCCACCUCUGUGUACAAGUUGGAAAUAUAAGUGUGGUAUGUACACAUUUCACAAAACAAAUGCUGCCAAGUGCACACACCCAUUCUUUCUUCAUCCUAGAAGUCCCACGACAGUCGACCAUGGCAUUGAGGAGAUAAUCUGUGGUGGGUGUUGUAUGCAGUGUUCACAAGGUGUUCUAGAUUGUCCAAAGGAAGUACCCUGUAAAUGUUGGCCUCUGAUCUGUCGAAACAAAUAGAAUCCAUAACUACAUUUCAUAAUAUUUUCUUGUAUCAAGCAUUUUUCAGAUUUGUGUUUGUAAUCACAGAAAUAGUAUAUUUUCCCCCAAGAAAAAUGUCAUUUACACACAUCAAGCUGUGUAAUGUGUCACUAUUAUACUCAUGUCACAUUAGUCUGCACGGCACAAAAGUCUGCACAUGUUAAUUACGUCUUGAAACAAGUGUAGAGUAUGUUUGUAAACAAACAGACAACGUUAAUUUAAUUCAUAAAACAAUUGUUAAAACAACACAUCUUGAUUGUGAAGAUAUGUAUAAAACUGGUAGAUAAUAAUUUGAUUGAAAAAAACUCUGAAUUAAUGCACUAAAAGUAUACUUUUGCCAGCCUCAAUCAACAUGUUUUUGUAUCACCUGUUAACACGUGUGUCACCGCUGUAAUGAUCAACCUUGCAUAUUAACUUACACAAGUUUACAUAGAAGCUUCAAUACACCUUAUUGCAAUUUAUGAAUCUAUAAAUGAUUUAUUUUAUCUGCUAAUGUAAACAUCCAAGCAUACUUUGAAUUUCCCUCCGAGUGACACAACACAACCAAUAUGGCUGCCCACACUAUAAAGCUUACAGCAUGGCCUACUUUUAGCUAUAGUCUAUUUAAUAAAAGUUAUCAUUGAUUGUCUAAUAUGGCUAACGGACACUAUUUGUGCUCAUUUACUUGUUAAUAAGACAACUUAUGUUUAAAUUAAUAAUGGUUAUAAAUUUGA